rnacentral:rRNA from 1 species
GAUGAACGCUGGCGGCGUGCCUAAUACAUGCAAGUCGAGCGAAUGGAUUAAGAGCUUGCUCUUAUGAAGUUAGCGGCGGACAGGUGAGUAACACGUGGGUAACCUGCCCAUAAGACUGGGAUAACUCCGGGAAACCGGGGCUAAUACCGGAUAACAUUUUGAACCGCAUGGUUCGAAAUUGAGAGGCGGCUUCGGCUGUCACUUAUGGAUGGACCCACGUCGCAUUAGCUAGUUGGUGAGGUAACGGCUCACCAAGGCAACGAUGCGUAGCCGACAUGAGAGGGUGAUCGGCCACACUGGGACUGAGACACGGCCCAGACUCCUACGGGAGGCAGCAGUAGGGAAUCGUCCGCAAUGGACGAAAGUCUGACGGAGCAACGCCGCGUGAGUGAUGAAGGCUUCGGGUCGUAAAACUCUGUUGUUGGGGAAGAACAAGUGCUAGUUGAAUAAGCUGGCACCUUGACGGUACCUAACCAGAAAGCCACGGCUAACUACGUGCCAGCCGCCGCGGUAA